GAGUGAUAAAAUACUGUGAAUACACAGUAUACUUUUUAACUUGUAUGAAUGUGCUCAUGGUUUGCUUUCUAUAUGUCUAGUGAAUAUCUAGUGCUGGCUAGUAGUUGUUGUUUGGUAACUAUUUUCUGUAUCAUGUAAGAUUGAUAUAUCUCA